rnacentral:rRNA from 1 species
CCUACGGGAGGCAGCAGUGGGGAAUAUUGCACAAUGGACGGAAGUCUGAUGCAGCAACGCCGCGUGCGGGAUGACGGCCUUCGGGUUGUAAACCGCUUUCAAUUGUGACGAAGCUUUUUGUGACGGUAGCAGUAGAAGAAGCACCGGCUAACUACGUGCCAGCAGCCGCGGUGAUACGUAGGGUGCGAGCGUUGUCCGGAUUUAUUGGGCGUAAAGAGCUUGUAGGCGGUUUGUCGCGUCGGGAGUGAAAACUUGGGGCUUAACCCUGGGCUUGCUUUCGAUACGGGCUGACUUGAGGGAGGUAGGGGAGAAUGGAAUUCCUGGUGGAGCGGUGGAAUGCGCAGAUAUCAGGAGGAACACCGGUGGCGAAGGCGGUUCUCUGGACCUUUCCUGACGCUGAGAAGCGAAAGCGUGGGGAGCGAACAGGAUUAGAUACCCUAGUAGUC